GAUGAACGCUGGCGGCGUGCCUAAUACAUGCCAGUCGAGCGAACGGACGAGAAGCUUGCUUCUCUGAUGUUAGCGGCGGACGGGUGAGUAACACGUGGAUAACCUACCUAUAAGACUGGGAUAACUUCGGGAAACCGGAGCUAAUACCGGAUAAUAUUUUGAACCGCAUGGUUCAAAAGUAAAAGACGGUCUUGCUGUCACUUAUAGAUGGAUCCGCGCUGCAUUAGCUAGUUGGUAAGGUAACGGCUUACCAAGGCAACGAUGCAUAGCCGACCUGAGAGGGUGAACGGCCACACUGGAACUGAGACACGGUCCAGACUCCUACGGGAGGCAGCAGUAGGGAAUCUUCCGCAAUGGGCGAAAGCCUGACGGAGCAACGCCGCGUGAGUGAUGAAGGUCUUCGGAUCGUAAAACUCUGUUAUUAGGGAAGAACAUAUGUGUAAGUAACUGUGCACAUCUUGACGGUACCUAAUCAGAAAGCCACGGCUAACUACGUG
rnacentral:rRNA from 1 species